rnacentral:rRNA from 1 species
UGGGGAAUAUUGGACAAUGGGCGCAAGCCUGAUCCAGCCAUGCCGCGUGAGUGAUGAAGGCCCUAGGGUUGUAAAGCUCUUUCACCGGUGAAGAUAAUGACGGUAACCGGAGAAGAAGCCCCGGCUAACUUCGUGCCAGCAGCCGCGGUAAUACGAAGGGGGCUAGCGUUGUUCGGAUUUACUGGGCGUAAAGCGCACGUAGGCGGACUAUUAAGUCAGGGGUGAAAUCCUGGGGCUCAACCCCGGAACUGCCUUUGAUACUGGUAGUCUUGAGUUCGAGAGAGGUGAGUGGAAUUCCGAGUGUAGAGGUGAAAUUCGUAGAUAUUCGGAGGAACACCAGUGGCGAAGGCGGCUCACUGGCUCGAUACUGACGCUGAGGUGCGAAAGCGUGGGGAGCAAACAGG